CGGAGAGGGCGCAUGAGAAACGGCUACCACUUCUAAGGAAGGCAGCAGGCGCGCAAAUUACCCAAUCCUGGACCAGGGAGGGAGUGACCAAAAAUAACAAUAGUCCUGCUCUUAACAGGAUCUAAUUGGAGUGAGAAGAAUUUAUAUAUCUUCCUCAUAACCGAGUACCUGUGUGGAGGGCAAGUCUGGUGCCAGCAGCCGCGGUAAUUCCAGCUCCAAUAGCGUAUACUAAAGUUGUUGCAGUUAAAAAGCUCCUAGUCGGAUUUCUGCGCGGGUGGGGCAGCCAGUGCCGCUUUUGCCUCAGCGCUAGCAACGCCCGCGCAUCCUGCCGCGAACGUCGCUACCAUUGAUUUGGCGGCGUCUCGGGAUCGGCUCGUUUACUUUGAGAAAAAUAGAGUGUUCAAAGCAGGCCAACCCGCCUUGAAUAAGUUAGCAUGGAAUAAUGAUAAAGGACUUCGGUUCUAUUUUGUUGGUGUUCCGGGACUGAAGUAAUGAUUGAUAGGGACGGUUGGGGGCCUCUGUAUUUCGGAGCGAGAGGUGAAAUUCUUAGACCUCCGGAAGACAAACCGCUGCGAAAGCGUUGGCCAAGUGACGUUCGCCUUUGAUCAAGAACGAAAGUUGGGGGAUCGAAGACCAUCAGAUACGGUCGUAGUCUCAACUAUAAACUAUACCAGCUAGGGAUCGGCCGAUGUUGUAAACUUAAGACUCGGUCGGCACCUUAUGAGAAAUCAAAGCAUCUGGGUUCCGGGGGGAGUAUGGUCGCAAGGCUGAAACUUAAAGGAAUUGACGGAAGGGCACCACCAGGCGUGGGGCCUGCGGCUUAAUUUGACUCAACACGGGGAAACUUACCAGGUCCAGACAUAGUGAGGAUGACA
rnacentral:rRNA from 1 species